CACGUCUCCUCCAGAUCCGGAAACAAGCCGACGACCACCGAUCGUUAGCCCUAGCCUACGCGUCCUACGCGAGGAAACUCAAGCUCGAGAACUCGAAGCUCGUGAGGAUCUUCGCGGAUCUCUCGAGAAACUACACAGAUCUGAUCAACAAACCUUCCUACCGAUCUCUCCACGACUCCGACGGAUCCUCCUCCAUCGACGAAUCCACGCUUCGUCAGUUCGAGAAAGAGGUCAAGGAACGGAUCAAGAUGACUCGCCAGGUGAUCGCCGAAGCCAAGGAAUCUUUCGACAACCAGCUCAAGAUCCAGAAGCUCAAGGACACGAUCUUCGCCGUCAACGAGCAGCUGACCAAGGCCAAGAAGCAAGGCGCGUUCUCCAGCUUGAUCGCCGCGAAAUCGAUCCCGAAAGGAUUGCAUUGCCUCCAAUCUCUCCGAUUCAAUCUCCGAUUUGUGACAUUUUUGUGGAAUUAAUAGGGCGUCGGAUUCAUCAGAAGAUCCAUGCUGGAUAUCAAACCGGAUCCGCUCAAGCCACGUCUCCUCCAGAUCCGGAAACAAGCCGACGACCACCGAUCGUUAGCCCUAGCCUACGCGUCCUACGCGAGGAAACUCAAGCUCGAGAACUCGAAGCUCGUGAGGAUCUUCGCGGAUCUCUCGAGAAACUACACAGAUCUGAUCAACAAACCUUCCUACCGAUCUCUCCACGACUCCGACGGAUCCUCCUCCAUCGACGAAUCCACGCUUCGUCAGUUCGAGAAAGAGGUCAAGGAACGGAUCAAGAUGACUCGCCAGGUGAUCGCCGAAGCCAAGGAAUCUUUCGACAACCAGCUCAAG
rnacentral:lncRNA from 1 species